UUAAAUUGAAGAGUUUGAUCAUGGCUCAGAUUGAACGCUGGCGGCAGGCCUAACACAUGCAAGUCGAACGGUAACAGGAAGCAGCUUGCUGCUUUGCUGACGAGUGGCGGACGGGUGAGUAAUGUCUGGGAAACUGCCUGAUGGAGGGGGAUAACUACUGGAAACGGUGGCUAAUACCGCAUAAUGUCGCAAGACCAAAGAGGGGGACCUUCGGGCCUCUUGCCAUCAGAUGUGCCCAGAUGGGAUUAGCUUGUUGGUGAGGUAACGGCUCACCAAGGCGACGAUCCCUAGCUGGUCUGAGAGGAUGACCAGCCACACUGGAACUGAGACACGGUCCAGACUCCUACGGGAGGCAGCAGUGGGGAAUAUUGCACAAUGGGCGCAAGCCUGAUGCAGCCAUGCCGCGUGUAUGAAGAAGGCCUUCGGGUUGUAAAGUACUUUCAGCGGGGAGGAAGGUGUUGUGGUUAAUAACCACAGCAAUUGACGUUACCCGCAGAAGAAGCACCGGCUAACUCCGUGCCAGCAGCCGCGGUAAUACGGAGGGUGCAAGCGUUAAUCGGAAUUACUGGGCGUAAAGCGCACGCAGGCGGUCUGUCAAGUCGGAUGUGAAAUCCCCGGGCUCAACCUGGGAACUGCAUUCGAAACUGGCAGGCUUGAGUCUUGUAGAGGGGGGUAGAAUUCCAGGUGUAGCGGUGAAAUGCGUAGAGAUCUGGAGGAAUACCGGUGGCGAAGGCGGCCCCCUGGACAAAGACUGACGCUCAGGUGCGAAAGCGUGGGGAGCAAACAGGAUUAGAUACCCUGGUAGUCCACGCCGUAAACGAUGUCUACUUGGAGGUUGUGCCCUUGAGGCGUGGCUUCCGGAGCUAACGCGUUAAGUAGACCGCCUGGGGAGUACGGCCGCAAGGUUAAAACUCAAAUGAAUUGACGGGGGCCCGCACAAGCGGUGGAGCAUGUGGUUUAAUUCGAUGCAACGCGAAGAACCUUACCUGGUCUUGACAUCCACAGAACUUUCCAGAGAUGGAUUGGUGCCUUCGGGAACUGUGAGACAGGUGCUGCAUGGCUGUCGUCAGCUCGUGUUGUGAAAUGUUGGGUUAAGUCCCGCAACGAGCGCAACCCUUAUCCUUUGUUGCCAGCGAUUCGGUCGGGAACUCAAAGGAGACUGCCAGUGAUAAACUGGAGGAAGGUGGGGAUGACGUCAAGUCAUCAUGGCCCUUACGACCAGGGCUACACACGUGCUACAAUGGCGCAUACAAAGAGAAGCGACCUCGCGAGAGCAAGCGGACCUCAUAAAGUGCGUCGUAGUCCGGAUUGGAGUCUGCAACUCGACUCCAUGAAGUCGGAAUCGCUAGUAAUCGUGGAUCAGAAUGCCACGGUGAAUACGUUCCCGGGCCUUGUACACACCGCCCGUCACACCAUGGGAGUGGGUUGCAAAAGAAGUAGGUAGCUUAACCUUCGGGAGGGCGCUUACCACUUUGUGAUUCAUGACUGGGGUGAAGUCGUAACAAGGUAACCGUAGGGGAACCUGCGGUUGGAUCACCUCCUUACCUGAAAGAAGC
rnacentral:rRNA from 1 species